rnacentral:rRNA from 1 species
UAUUAUGAGAGUUUGAUCCUGGCUCAGGACGAACGCUGGCGGCGUGCCUAAUACAUGCAAGUCGAACGCUUCUUUCCUCCCGAGUGCUUGCACUCAAUUGGAAAGAGGAGUGGCGGACGGGUGAGUAACACGUGGGUAACCUACCCAUCAGAGGGGGAUAACACUUGGAAACAGGUGCUAAUACCGCAUAACAGUUUAUGCCGCAUGGCAUAAGAGUGAAAGGCGCUUUCGGGUGUCGCUGAUGGAUGGACCCGCGGUGCAUUAGCUAGUUGGUGAGGUAACGGCUCACCAAGGCCACGAUGCAUAGCCGACCUGAGAGGGUGAUCGGCCACACUGGGACUGAGACACGGCCCAGACUCCUACGGGAGGCAGCAGUAGGGAAUCUUCGGCAAUGGACGAAAGUCUGACCGAGCAACGCCGCGUGAGUGAAGAAGGUUUUCGGAUCGUAAAACUCUGUUGUUAGAGAAGAACAAGGACGUUAGUAACUGAACGUCCCCUGACGGUAUCUAACCAGAAAGCCACGGCUAACUACGUGCCAGCAGCCGCGGUAAUACGUAGGUGGCAAGCGUUGUCCGGAU